rnacentral:misc_RNA from 1 species
AACGCAUCUUGCGCUCCUUGGUCCUCCGAGGAGCAUGCCUGUUUGAGUGUCAUGACGAUCUCAAAAUCUUUUCAUUGAUCUUUGAAAGGUUUUUGGAUGCUUUGGAGGUUGCCGAGAAAAGGGGAAUUUGUCUCUCCUCUCAGCUCCCCUGAAAUGCAUUAGCAAAAGGAUGUCCCUGGCUUUAUUCUCUGAUGUGAUAAUUUUAUCUACGUCAGCUGAAUUCCAGAUUUUUAUUUUUGCUUCCAACCGUCUUGAAACGAGACAAAAGAAAAUAAAAGUUUGACCUCAAAUCAGGUAGGACUACCCGCCGAACUUAA